UUUCCGUAGGUGAACCUGCGGAAGGAUCAUUAUCGUACAAAAUGUGAGAGGCAUGCGAGGGCUGUCGCUGACCCAAAAGUCGAGCACGCACGCGUCUGUCCUCUUGCAUCAUAAUCCAUCUCACCCUUUGUGCAUCACCGUGUGGGCAACUCUCGGGCUAAUCUCGCAUGGUGGUACACGUUCUUACACCAACUCCCCUUUUAAAGGUGAAGACUGCCCCCAUUCAAGCAAUCAAUACCACUUUCAACAACUGAUCUCUUUGCUCGCGCAUCGAACUAA
rnacentral:misc_RNA from 1 species